AGAGAGCGGCGGGGCCAGCUGCGUUCUGAGCCUGGGCGCAGCUGCCAUCUGCUCUGGGAAGCACCGGGGUGUCCCCGCCGCCCUCAGCUCGAAGUCAGCAACCAUGGAGGCGCAGGCACAAGGUUUGCUGGAGACUGAACCAUUGCAAGGAACAGACGAAGAUGCAGUAGCCAGUGCUGACUUCUCUAGCAUGCUCUCUGAGGAGGAAAAGGAAGAGUUAAAAGCAGAGUUAGUUCAGCUAGAAGACGAAAUUACAACACUACGACAAGUUUUGUCAGCGAAAGAAAGGCAUCUAGUUGAGAUAAAACAAAAACUCGGCAUGAACCUGAUGAAUGAAUUAAAACAGAACUUCAGCAAAAGCUGGCAUGACAUGCAGACUACCACUGCCUACAAGAAAACACAUGAAACCCUGAGUCACGCAGGGCAGAAGGCAACUACAGCUUUCAGCAACGUUGGAACGGCCAUCAGCAAGAAGUUCGGAGACAUGAGGUACUGUGGGAAAAUACCAUGGGAACGGCGCUAAGCCCUUGGCUUUCCGAUUGAAGGGAGCACUAGCUGUUAGCUGCUCAUCUCAACAUAUG
rnacentral:sRNA from 1 species